CAAUAUUUUAUAAAAAAUAUCCAUUAAUUUUAAUCCUAUCCCAAGAAAAAUAUCAAUUUUUCUAAUUUAUUUUGUCAGUUUAAAUAUCUUUAAAAUUUCCUAAGCCGCUCCUGUUCGAAAUAUUUCAGAAUAUUUUCGCAACAAAGUAAAAUCAUAGGAAAGUUCCUAUUUAUUUGAGUAGCAUUUACCAACUACGUAGAUAGUUAUUGUGAAAUCAUUCAUUAUUCGAGAAUGAAUCCUCUAAAAGGUUUGGUGUUUUUCCUUUAAGUUUUGAGCGAUAAAAAUCCCAUGUUAUUAUUGGUCUGCAUUUUGAAAGAUCCUUGAGUUGUAGUUGACGAUUGGUCAAUAGUUUUGGCCGAACGAUCGAGAAGAAAUGCAUCGUUUGGACGCGAGAGAGACGUGACGAUGUAAAGCCAGUUCUAAAAGUACAUCACUUCAGUAAACAUCUUUUUGUUAGAACUCAACCAACAGACUCGUAGAAAGUCGCACUUUGCCGGCAAAAUGGUUUUAUUUUUAUGGUAAAAGAAGUGAAAGACUGGCAGUUUGCCCAGUAAAUGUCAACGAAUAUAAUGACAAUAGUUUCACGGCAUUUUAAUGGAUAUAUUAUUGUGAAACAGUUCUAUUGUUAUGCAGUUAGAUUUGCCGGUGGUAUAAAAAAGAAGUGCGUGGUUUCCUGGUUCCUGUCCUUUAUGUAGCUGUUGCUAUUUUUAUGAUGUUUUGGAUUUGUUCAUGUUCCAGUAAGAAAUGCCCGGAUGAUAUUAUUUGGUAUCGAUUUUAUCCAGUUUUGUAAUGAUUUGAAUAUCUUCCCCUCCCAGCCCCGUCUGAAUGGAAAAUUUUGAAGUUCCAAGUGUUGACAUGGAUUUUUGUUUUAACAAGGUAUGAUAAUGUUUAUUUUAAAUAAUUCACAAGUGGAUAUUAUUGGUAAAGGUUUUACAUAAUUAAAAAUGUUUGUUUUCAACAUGGAAAAUAUAUUAUGUAAAGUAAAUAUUAGAUGGCAGUGACAUUUGACAGCCAUGUCAAAUUUUUGUUUUGGUACACUGCUAAAAAUAAGGUUAAAAAUUGUAAAAUCAUGUAUUUUGUUAUUAUUAUUCAUUUCUGGUUUGAGAAUGUGUCUAUUCUCAAUAAAAAUAAAAAGGUAAUAAGGUUUAAAUAAACAUUAUAAAAUGUACACAUCUUUAUUUCUGUAACCUCUUUAAUUUAAAAAAAUUAUUAACAGAUAACUAAUACAAGUGAAUUAAGUUUUAGAACAGAAGAAAAUGAUAUGGCAUAGAAGCCAUAUGAUGAUAAUUUGUAGCCCAGUAUAACCAUAACGAGGAAUCUACGAUGAAUGUCCCCCAGUUGCUUUCCAGUAAGUACUCGAUAUGAGAAUUUGAGGAUUUUUCAAACGGCGUCCCAAUUUGUUUAAAUAGUAGGAAAGUACUCAAGUCUGUUAAGAAAUGCCCGGAUGAUAUUAUUUGGUAUCGAUUUUAUCCAGUUUUGUAAUGAUUUGAAUAUCUUCCCCUCCCAGCCCCGUCUGAAUGGAAAAUUUUGAGGUUCCAAGUGUUGUGACAUGGAUUUUUGUUUUAAGGUAUGAUAAUGUUUAUUUUAAAUAAAUUCACAAGUGGAUAUUAAUGGUAAAGGUUUUACAUAAUUAAAUGUUUGUUUUCAACAUGGAAAAUAUUUUAUUGUAAAGUAAAUGUAAAAUGGCAGUGACUUUUGACAGCCAUGUCAAAUUUUAGUUUUGGUACACUGCUAAAAAUAAAUAAGGUUAAAAAUUGUAAAACCAUAUAUUUGUUUUUAUUAUUCAUUUCUUUUUUGAGAAUAUGUUUAUUCUCGGAGUAAGUUUUAAAUAAACAUUAUAAAAUGUACACAUCUUUAUUUCUGUAACCUCUUUAUUUAAGAAAAUUAUUAACAGAUAUCUAAUACAAGUGAAUAAGUUUUAGAACAGAAGAAAA
rnacentral:lncRNA from 1 species